AAGCUCUAUGGUCAGCAGUGUGUAUGAUUCAUCCUGGUCGGCGCUGAAGGAUUGGAAAGUAGAAGAUGAGAAGAUGAGUAGUUGCCAGGGAGAAAGCUGAGAUUAUUCUGACUAUGAGAGGAUGUCUGCUUUGCCAACAAUUUCUAUUCCACAGGGAAAGGGCGGGCCGACAUUG
rnacentral:lncRNA from 1 species